rnacentral:rRNA from 1 species
GGUGAGAAUAUUCCGGACAAUGGACGAAAGUCCUGACUGCGCAGCACACUGCCGCGUGAGUGAAGAAGGCCUUCGGAUUGUAAAGCUCUUUUGUUUGGGAGGAAGGGCUGCAAGUUAAUACCUUGGUGUUUUGACGUUACCAACACAAAAAGCCCCGGCUAACUUCGUGCCAGCAGCCGCGGUAAUUAUAAAGAG